rnacentral:rRNA from 1 species
UUCCGGUUGAUCCUGCCGGAGGUUACUGCUAUCGAGGUUCGACUAAGCCAUGCGAGUCGAAUGUAGCAAUACAUGGCGAACUGCUCAGUAACACGUGGACAACCUGCCCUUAGGUUGGGUAUAAACCCGGGAAACUGGGUAUAAUACCCGAUAGGUCUCGAUUGCUGGAAUGCAUCGAGAUUUAAAGCUCCGGCGCCUAAGGAUGGGUCUGCGGCCUAUCAGGUAGUAGUGGGUGUAGCGUACCUACUAGCCUACGACGGGUACGGGUUGUGAGAGCAAGAGCCCGGAGAUGGAUUCUGAGACACGAAUCCAGGCCCUACGGGGUGCAGCAGGCGCGAAAACUUUACAAUGCUGGCAACAGCGAUAAGGGAACCUCGAGUGCCAGGUUACAAAUCUGGCUGUCGAGAUGCCUAAAAAGCAUUUCAUAGCAAGGGCCGGGCAAGACCGGUGCCAGCCGCCGCGGUAACACCGGCGGCUCGAGUGGUAACCGUUAUUAUUGGGUCUAAAGGGUCUGUAGCCGGCCGGAUAAGUCUCUUGAGAAAUCUGGCAGCUUAACUGUCAGGCUUUCAGGAGAUACUGUCUGGCUCGAGGCCGGGAGAGGUGAGAGGUACUUCAGGGGUAGGGGUGAAAUCUUGUAAUCCUUGAAGGACCACCAGUGGCGAAGGCGUCUCACCAGAACGGACCUGACGGCAAGGGACGAAAGCUAGGGGCACGAACCGGAUUAGAUACCCGGGUAGUCCUAGCCGUAAACGAUACUCGCUAGGUGUCGGCCACGGUGCGACCGUUGUCGGUGCCGUAGGGAAGCCGUGAAGCGAGCCACCUGGGAAGUACGGCCGCAAGGCUGAAACUUAAAGGAAUUGGCGGGGGAGCACCACAACGGGUGGAGCUUGCGGUUUAAUUGGAGUCAACGCCGGG